rnacentral:sRNA from 1 species
AUAUCUCUCUGUGCGGGAAGGAUGAGAAGCUUCGACCAAGGUUCGAUUCGAGCGCAGCGAGAAAGCGUUGCCGCAGGCAACGACCCGAAGGGCGAAGCGCGCAGCGCUGAGUCAUCCUUCCCCCACCACCA